CCCCCCCCCCCGCGAUGCCCCGCCCGGUUCGCUCCCACCCACCUUCUGCCAUACCCAGCGGCCGGGACAAGUGUCCCGGGAGCACCAAGAUGCAGCUGUGGCUCUGGCACCUCCUCGUGGCGCAGCUGACAGCUCUCCACGGCAGCUCAGCACUCCACCAGACGCCUGAGUCUAUAAUGGUUCAGACCCAUCAAACGGUGACCCUAUCCUGUGAAACGAAAACCUCCCUCAUUAACAGGCGUGUCUACUGGCUGAGACAGCGCCAGGCCCCGAGCCCGCACAGUCACCAUGAGUUCCUGGCCCUGACCACCUUGGAUUACACGCAACAAACUGUGUAUGGCGAGGGGGUGAAGCAGGAGGAGUUCAUAGUGUCUCAGAGCGGGGCGCGGUGUACUCUCAACCUCACGAGGGCAAAGCUUUCGGACAGUGGCACAUACUUCUGCAUGACCGUCGGGCAGCCCCAGCUGAUAUUCGGGAAGGGAACUCGGCUGAGCGUGGUUGAUGUUCUCCCCACCACUGCCCAGCCCACCAAGAAAUCCAGCCCCAAGAAGAAGGUGUGCCAGUUCUCCAACCCACCGAGCCAGAAGGGCCCAUCUUGUAGCCCCCUCACUCUCGGCCUGCUGGUGACUGGUGUCCUGGUUCUGCUGGUGUCCUUGAGUGUGGCUGUCCACCUGUACUGCCAGCGGAGGAGAGCCCGGCUUCGCUUCCUGAAACAAACAACCCCCAGCUGUAUGGAAGUGUUUGAAAAAAAACGGGCACGCCUUUAGAAUGAAGAGGGCACGGGCCCGGUGCGCACCAGGCAGCUCUGGGCUGGAGUCCUGUCUGCCAUUCGCCAGCCUUGUGACUGUAGGCGAAGUCACCUCACCUCCCUGAGCCUCCUGUGCCUAAUUUGUAAAAUGGGAUGACAGCACCAACCUCAUGGCUAUUGUGAGGACUUACUGAGGUAACGCCGAUAACCUGCUGGGCACCUGGUCCCGCGCAAUUGAAGCAGAAGCUCAUUUAACUUAUGUCAGUUCAGCUCUGUAGCAACGAUCAUGAAGACGGCAGAGGACUGGGCAGCGUUUUGUGCUGUUAUACAUGAAGUCGACAGGAGUCGGGGCCGACUUGAGAGCUCCCUAAAAACAACAAGAAGUUCAACUCUACAAGCCCAUCAGCCAAGAAACAAAGUUUUACAAAUGAACAAAGAAUAUGCUUUUGGUGUCCUGCAUUGGUCAGUGAUGAGCGAGGUCUUGAAAAACGAGAGGGAAGGGACACACUCAGCCACGGAGAUUUCACUGACCUGCCGAAGCUGCCUGCUUUAACUACCGCAGUUUCUUCUGUGGCCCUCAAACCUAGAGGCAACUUGUUAGUUGGUCAUCGGGAAUCUUAAAAAGAAGGCUUCAGGACCCAAGGCACUUUCUGCAACUCACAGGGUGUGCUGGAAGACAGAGUGGGAAUUGCCACCUGGACACGACUUCCGGUUCCUGACUUGCCCUGGGCUGGGCCUGGACUUUGGUGUUGGCUGUCCAGCCUCCGUCUUUGCAAGUUGCUUUGCCCUAGUGGGGCAGUGACAGUGGGCCCUGGGUCUUUCAUGGGGUGGGGCUGAGAUGGCUCCCCCUUGCUUUUUCCAGGCCAGGAAUGACCAUCCUCACAGAGAAUGCCCCAGAGGCCAGGCCCAGUGUAGGAAUGAGGCUUCCUGAGAAGGGCUGACUUGGCACCCAGGCACCGUCUUAGUGGGGAUGUCGCUUCCUCUCCCAUAGGACGUUUCUCAGCUUUCGUGUCUGCCUUCCCGUGGCUUGUAUACUUCCCUCACUUUCUGUUCUCUUAAAUAAAGUCUCCUGGAUGUAAAAAUAAA